rnacentral:rRNA from 1 species
AAGUCGUAACAAGGUUUCCAUAGGUGAACCUGCGGAAGGAUCAUUAACGAAUCCAAUCUUACCUGCCUUAGCGGUUUCACUUGAUGCUGUUUUUCGGGGUCGGUCGGGGGGAGCGAAAGCUCUCGUCGAUCGUUAAAUCGUCAGUGGGUACGGUGGACUUCGGUCUGCUAGGCGGGCCCCGAAUUAGUUUUUUUGCCCACGCUCUUCAAACCUCAAUGCCUUAACGUAUCGAUUCCUCGGACGAGAUUCGUCUCGCACGAGAGUUGCCUAAAAGCGAACAACUUUAAACGGUGGAUCUCUUGGCUCGUGCAUCGAUGAAGAACGCAGCAAACUGCGAUAAGUAAUGUGAAUUGCAGAAUUUAGUGAAUCAUCGAAUCUUUGAACGCAAAUGGCGCUCUUGGGCAUUCCCAGGAGCACGUCUGUCUGAGCGUCGUUUCUCACAUCCCAUCUCUCUGAGAUGGGGCCAUGAGGUGUCCCUCUGCGCGAGCAGACGGUCCCUUGAAGUAGAGCGAUCCCGAGUCGUGCGGAAGCCUCUCGUGGCCCGUGCCUCUCGGUGUGGUAGAAAUAUCUCACCGAGCAGCUCGAGCUAGGAGGGUGUCCGAAGCCUUCUCGAUGGGACGAUUGGAAAGGGAAGACGCGCGAGCGCCUUCGACCAACCAAGACCUCAGAUCAGGCGAGACUACCCGCUGAACUUAAGCAUAUCAAUAAGCGGAGGA